rnacentral:rRNA from 1 species
AUUGAACGCUGGCGGCAUGCCUUACACAUGCAAGUCGAACGGUAACAGGUCUUCGGAUGCUGACGAGUGGCGAACGGGUGAGUAAUACAUCGGAACGUGCCCGAUCGUGGGGGAUAACGAAGCGAAAGCUUUGCUAAUACCGCAUACGAUCUACGGAUGAAAGCAGGGGACCGCAAGGCCUUGCGCGAACGGAGCGGCCGAUGGCAGAUUAGGUAGUUGGUGGGAUAAAAGCUUACCAAGCCGACGAUCUGUAGCUGGUCUGAGAGGACGACCAGCCACACUGGGACUGAGACACGGCCCAGACUCCUACGGGAGGCAGCAGUGGGGAAUUUUGGACAAUGGGCGAAAGCCUGAUCCAGCCAUGCCGCGUGCAGGAUGAAGGCCUUCGGGUUGUAAACUGCUUUUGUGCGGAACGAAAAGACUCUGGUUAAUACCUGGGGUCCAUGACGGUACCGUAAGAAUAAGCACCGGCUAACUACGUGCCAGCCGCCGCGGUAAAAC